AGGGCUGUUUCUGUCUUUGGUUAUCUAGCUGUAUGAGUGUUCUCGAGCCGUCAUAAAGCUAGAUAACCGAAAGUAGAAAUGACUU
rnacentral:pre_miRNA from 1 species